rnacentral:lncRNA from 1 species
UGGGAAUGGAUAUUUUUUUUCUGUUCAAGGAGAAAGAAUAACAAUGAGAAAUGUACUAGAGAGAGAAGAAUAAUUUUCAGCGAGAAAUGUAAAAUACACCGACCAAUCAAAGAGGAUUCACCUAAGUCAAGGAGUCACUGCUCGCGACUUUACGAAGAAAUCUGUAUUCGACUCUCGAAUGAUCGCGAAUCAUAUUGCGAUAUCUACUUUACGGUGGUAUUUGCGUCAUUCCUGUCCAAGGAUUCUUUUAAGUAGCGCACGUGAGAUUUUUAUUCGUAUACAUAUAAGCAUGCAUUAACAAUAACGCAAUAAAUUGUGCUAUUGUCUAGUGUACCUCGUGUAUUGUUGACGCCACUGAUGUAGGUCAAUGUCGUUACCGCAUUCAGAAAUUAUUAUUAAUCAUUUUUUUUUGUCGUUGCAUUUUUUUACUUGAAACGCAACCUAUUCCAAUACCAAUUAUUUUAAUUCUUUGAGGAAUAAUCGUCUUCCAUUAGUAAAAUUUGUAUCAUAAAUCUGAUCGCAACGUUUUAACCUCUCGCAUUUUGUAAUAACUAUUGCGCGUUGGUUGAAAAUUUAAAUCAUAAUUCUCGCUGAUUUCAAUGUUCCGUUUGCCACGGAAUUAUAUAAUUAUUACGUACUGAGCUUUCUUGCGUGUGACAGCCUAUAGAUCACUUGAUUCGCGCAUUUAAAUUCGAGAUUUUUCGCAAAUACCUACGUCAAUCGAAUAACAGUAUUCGAGACUAAUUUUCGAGACCGAUCACUACGAUAUGCUGCGAGUAAUGUAUAUGAUAUUAACUCGACGUUUAUAACGUGGAAUCAUCGUGGCUAGUUAAUGUACAGGAAAUGCAAAGUUAACUUCUGCUUAUUACAUCCACGCAACUUCUUUUGUCUAUUCCCAAAAAAAGACUUUGCCGUGCCUGCGAAUUGGAGGAACGUACAAUUCGAAUUAAAGUUACGACAUCGAAAAUGUUUAUUCUGAAAUAUUAUUUGGAUCGUGACUUUCAUUUGUGAUGAAUGUUAUCGUAGACUUCGGGAAUUCACGCUGAUAAGAACCGCUCGGACAGCGAAACUCGGACGGUUUCGUACGCUGUCCGAUAUUGAAACAUCCAAUCAAACCCCGACGAUCUCGCGAUCGCCAACUCCCGGCUUUCACUGAUACGUAAAGAUACCGUGCACUGAUACGUAUCUAAGGUCGAAUGCACGAGGUGGCUCCUUAGGCGCGGUCUUAUCACCCGUGGAAACAAGUCCUCCGCCAGUCAGUCAGUUAAGUGUUCCGAGAGCGUGACGACAAUGUCGCAUUUAUGUUGGAAAUAAUUGCCGUUGGCAAACUGUUGAUGGUGUCAUCGUACUUCGCGCGCGACGCAAUAAGUCUGAAAGUGACAACCCAGACAGUUUGCAGUGUUAGUUCGCGCGAUCGAUCACUGUAAUCGAUUUAUCUUAGUCGCGGGAGAGAUUAAUCGUGCCGCUCUCCCGUCUCGCGACCGUGGGCGCGAAAUUUCAGAACUUUCGCUCCGUUACGUGGCUAUGAUAGCUCUCGUUAUUGAAGAACGUCUUCUGAAAAAUCCUUGAGCACGAACGACGUGAGAGAUGAAGGGCUGAAUAAGGUGAAAGAGGUCCGUCGAGUCCUUGCCGCCGAAAAAUUCGGAUUGUUUAUCUUAUUUCUCUUGCAUAUCUAACUAGAUACGUAUCACGAAGUCGAGUGUGUUUUCGAUGUCUUUAUACGGUACCGAUUGAUUGCGUAGUCGAUUUAUCUCAUCGUGAGAGAUUAAUCGUCGCGCUGUUUUCAAGCUUUCGCUCAAUCGCACAUUUAAGGUGAUGCACGUGCCAAACCGCCUCGGCGUUGAUCGAAUACAAAGUGCGGUGACAAUACAAUGAUACAACUUUCAGGUUUUAUUCAGUCAGGAUAACAAUGACGAAUUCGUAGGAGCGGCGAAUUCCGAAUAAUUAUCGUUACGGUUUUGCUGCAUAUUUUUGCCGACAAUAGCGUCGUAACGGCGACAGACAUCGAUACCGCUAGCAGGUGAGAAUGCAUUCACGUUGCAAACUCGCUGUGCGAGAAGUUUCAGCGACGGGGAACAGAAGUUUUCAUCCGGACGAUUGUGUCAGUCAGUGCGCAAAAAGAGAAGCACACGUCUGACAAAAAGGGAGACUAAAAGAUAGAGAGGAAUUCUCGUAACUUUUUAUUUUUAAAUUUCUUACUUUAUGUAACUUGCUAUGAAUAAAGGCGGAUUUGUAUUAGUCACAUUAUGCAGAUCUUAUAUAAGUCACAUGUAUAUGUAUUAUUUUUAUAUUUAACGUAGAACUUUAAGCGAAGGAUUUAAUUUGUGUAAAGAAUAACUGCUUUAUUUAUAAAAAAAAAAA